AUGGGCAACGCUCUGCCGUGCUUGGUCGACCACGGCGUGAAGGCUCUGCCGGCGGCGGUGAGGCCCAGGCGGAGGAUGUACUCGCUCAAGCUUCUCAUGAAGGUCCUCCACAGGAUGAAGAGGACGCCGCGCGGCAACAAGAUUGGCGGCAAGUCCUCGCCGGAAUCCGAAGUAGGUGGGGCGGGUGUGAAGAGCAUCAAGGCUUCCCCGAGACGAGCGGCAGCGGCGGCGGGUCGUGGUGGCGGUGGCCAGAGGAAGGGCGUCGUGAGGGUGAAGGUGCUCCUCAGCAAGGAGGAGGCGGCGCGGCUGCUGUCGCUGACCGUGGGAGGCCAGAAGACGGCGGCGCAGAUCGUGGCCGAGAUCAAGAGGAUGGAGGCCCGCCGCGCCGCCGCCAAUGCCGCGGCGGCGGCCGGGUGGCGGCCCGCGCUGGCGAGUAUCCCCGAGGAGUCGUCGUAG
rnacentral:rRNA from 1 species